UUUCCGUAGGUGAACCUGCGGAAGGAUCAUUAUUGAAUUUCGUAAAGGGGUGCCUGGGUGGUGCUGGCUUUUUGCAUGUGCACGCCUCAGACAUCCUGAUACACCCACACCUGUGCACCUAUUGACGGAAGCUCUGUAGCGGAGCGGAUGUCCUCUCACACACACUCAACGAUGUAUCAUGUAUAUAUUUUCAUACUUGCAGUGACAACUUUCAACAACGGAUCUCUUGGCUCUC
rnacentral:misc_RNA from 1 species